UCAGAAGACUUUAUAUUAGAAAGGGGAAUAUGAUCAACAAAGACUUCUUACUCCUUUCCCUAGGACUGUGUUACAGUUUUCUUGCUGCUGUUGUUGUAAUGACUGAAUGCCAGGCCUUAUGCUCCUUGGUGAAAUGGCAAUUCUAAGUAACAGGAAGCUUGCAUAUAGAAUCAACACUUUCUGGAUCUACAGCAUCUUUAAAGGGAGUGAGCUCCAGAUCAGAAACAGAUUCUGAGGAAACACUGUAUUUGACCCAGACCAUUUUCAACGAGUUUACUGUCAGACUUGCAGGUUAUCACAGUUAAUCAUCGGGGGAUCUCAGCUUGUAUUGCAGUGAAGGUGUUACACUAAGCUAAAGGCUGUAAAAUGGUAACAUUUGUUCUUGCUUUUCACUAUCAUGGUCAUAUCAGACCCCUAAUGUAUCAGGAGGCGUCCCAGAGCUACUGGUUAAAAUUACCUUUGCUUUUGGUAGACUGUGAACCUUCAAACCUCAGUGUUUUCAGCUGCCCCCUGUGGAUUUUGUGAAGCCUCUUUCUGGCACAUUACUCAUUGCCAGCCACGUGUGU